rnacentral:piRNA from 1 species
UGUGGUACUACCUAAGGUUCUUAGAGGAA